GAUGAACGCUGGCGCAGGGAGGAAGAAAGGAAAGUAGAAGGACGAAGCUGGGUGCGUGAAAAGAGCGGAUGAGUGGCGAACGGGUGAGUAACGAGUAGGGAACCUGCCUCUUAGCGGGGGAUAACUAACGGAAACGAUAGCUAAUACCGAAGAAAAGUCGAUAACGCAUGACAUUGAUUUGAAAGGUGAAAAUGCAUCACUAAGAGUUGGACUUGCGUUGUAUUAGCUAGUUGGUGAGGUAACGGCCCCAGAAGGGGACGGUACAUAGGCGGCCUGAGAGGGUUGUCCGCCACACUGAGACUGAGACCCGGCCCAGACUCCUACGGGAGGCAGCAGUAGGGAAUCUUCGGCAAUGGGGGCAACCCUGACCGAGCAACGCCGCGUGAGUGAAGAAGGUUUUCGGCUCGUAAAUCUCUUUUUUAUGUGAAGAACGAGUGUGCGAGUGGCAAGUUCACCCUGUGACGGUAACUUAUCAGAAAGGUCCGGCUCCCUCCGUU
rnacentral:rRNA from 1 species